AUAAAUAUAGCUUAAUCAAAGCCAAGACUUGUGGAGUCUUUCAUACAAACCAUCAUUUGUUAUUUAUA
rnacentral:tRNA from 1 species